GGGUCGGUAGCUCAGCCUGGUAGAGCACUCGGCUUUUAACCGAUUGGUCCAGGGUUCGAAUCCCUGCCGACCCA
rnacentral:tRNA from 1 species